UAAAUUUUUUUUAAUAUGAAAAUGUUUAUUUAAAAAAAGAAAAAGAAAAACAACCGUAACACCUGAUUGAAUUGAGCUCCUAUGCUUUUAAAAGUACCAAGUUAUUGAUGCUUGUAAAUUUUUAGCCAUGUGUUUAAGAGAUAUGCGGUUAGGAUGAUGUGGGCCCGCUAGGGUUGAGUGGAUGGUUGGUUGAAUAGUAUAAUCUAAUGGUUGAAAAUGAUUCGAGGAAUAGAUCUAACGGUAAAAAACUUACAAGCACUAAGUGCUUGGUACUUUUACAAGCACCAUAGCUGGACUCCACCUGAUUAAUUAUAUGGCCGAACAUUACAAAAAUUACUAGA
rnacentral:lncRNA from 1 species